GUUAACUGCCGCUACUGCAUGGAUUCCUAUGCAUGUUUUUAGUUGAACAUGUUGAAAACACAUAUUGAUUGUUGUUAAACCACAUUAUUCAGUAUCCUUACUAUCUCGUGUGCAAUAGCAAGUGUUUGAACUAUCUUUAAAUCGCAAUAAACUGGCUGUAUAAUGCCAAAAAAGACUAUCACCGCUGAUUUCUAAUCAAAACUAAACCAAAAGUUGUCCAUGCAAGGGAAAUAACUCUGUAUAAACAAAAAUGAGGGUUAUCUAUAAAAAUUAAUUUUGA
rnacentral:lncRNA from 1 species